rnacentral:rRNA from 1 species
ACUCAAAUGAAUUGACGGGGACCCGCACAAGCGGUGGAUGAUGUGGUUUAAUUCGAUGCAACGCGAAAAACCUUACCCACCUUUGACAUGUACGGAAUUCCGCAGAGAUGUGGAAGUGCUCGAAAGAGAACCGUAACACAGGUGCUGCAUGGCUGUCGUCAGCUCGUGUCGUGAGAUGUUGGGUUAAGUCCCGCAACGAGCGCAACCCUUGUCAUUAGUUGCUACGAAAGGGCACUCUAAUGAGACUGCCGGUGACAAACCGGAGGAAGGUGGGGAUGACGUCAAGUCCUCAUGGCCCUUAUAGGUGGGGCUACACACGUCAUACAAUGGCCGGUACAAAGGGCUGCCAACCCGCGAGGGGGAGCUAAUCCCAUAAAACCGGUCGUAGUCCGGAUCGCAGUCUGCAACUCGACUGCGUGAAGUCGGAAUCGCUAGUAAUCGUGGAUCAGAAUGUCACGGUGAAUACGUUCCCGGGUCUUGUACACACCGCCCGU